rnacentral:rRNA from 1 species
AUACGGAGGGUGCAAGCGUUACUCGGAAUCACUGGGCGUAAAGCGCGCGCAGGCGGCUAUUUAAGUUGGAUGUGAAAGCCUACGGCUCAACCGUAGAACUGCAUCCAAAACUAUUAGACUAGAGUGUGAGAGAGGAAGAUGGAAUUAGUUGUGUAGGGGUAAAAUCCGUAGAGAUAACUAGGAAUACCAAAAGCGAAGGCAAUCUUCUGGAACACUACUGACGCUGAGGCGCGAAAGCGUGGGGAGCAAACAGGAUUAGAAACCCUAGUAGUCC